rnacentral:rRNA from 1 species
UUCUCCUACGGGAGGCAGCAGUAGGGAAUCUUCGGCAAUGGGGGCAACCCUGACCGAGCAACGCCGCGUGAGUGAAGAAGGUUUUCGGAUCGUAAAGCUCUGUUGUAAGAGAAGAACGUGUGUGAGAGUGGAAAGUUCACACAGUGACGGUAACUUACCAGAAAGGGACGGCUAACUACGUGCCAGCAGCCGCGGUAAUACGUAGGUCCCGAGCGUUGUCCGGAUUUAUUGNGCGUAAAGCGAGCGCAGGCGGUUUAAUAUGUCUGAAGUUAAAGGCAGUGGCUUAACCAUUGUUCGCUUUGGAAACUGUUAAACUUGAGGCAGA